UUCUCUGCUUCACUCUAGCCCGAGCCGUAAAGUUUCCGAUCGGAAUCAUCAAAUGGCGACCGAAGAAGUAGCUGUAGCGGUUGAGUCUGUUCCCGAACCGGAGGUGGCUGAGCCGGCGGCGGAGGAGGAACCGGCGGCGAAGGGUGGAAAGUCGAAGAAGGCGAAGGAGCCAAAGGCAAAGAAACCGGCCGGUCCGAGAAAGCCUAGAAACCCGCCUUUGCAUCCUCCAUACAUUGAGAUGAUUACCGACGCAAUUGUGACGCUGAAGGAGA
rnacentral:misc_RNA from 1 species